CACGUAGGGCGCAAGCGUUGUCCGGAAUUAUUGGGCGUAAAGAGCUCGUAGGCGGACUGUCACGUCCGCUGUGAAAAGCUAGGGCUUAACCCUGGCCUUGCAGUGGAUACGGGCAGACUAGAGGUAGGUAGGGGAGAAUGAAAUUCCCGGUGUAGCGGUGAAAUGCGUAGAUAUCGGAAGGAACACCAGUGGCGAAAGCGGCUUCCUGGUCCAGCACCGACGUUCAGGCACGAAAGCGUGGGGAGCAAACAGG
rnacentral:rRNA from 1 species